AUUGAACGCUGGCGGCAUGCCUUACACAUGCAAGUCGAACGGUAACAGGUCUUCGGAGGCUGACGAGUGGCGAACGGGUGAGUAAUACAUCGGAACGUGCCUAGUCGUGGGGGAUAACUACUCGAAAGAGUGGCUAAUACCGCAUGAGAUCUACGGAUGAAAGCAGGGGAUCGCAAGACCUUGUGACACUAGCGCGGCCGAUGGCAGAUUAGGUAGUUGGUGGGAUAAAAGCUUAACAAGCCGGCGAACGGUAGCUGGUCUGAGAGGACGAUCAGCCACACUGGGACUGAGACACGGCCCAGACUCCUACGGGAGGCAGCAGUGGGGAAUUUUGGACAAUGGGCGCAAGCCUGAUCCAGCAAUGCCGCGUGCAGGAUGAAGGCCUUCGGGUUGUAAACUGCUUUUGUACGGAACGAAAAGCCCCGGGUUAAUACCCUGGGGUCAUGACGGUACCGUAAGAAUAAGCACCGGCUAACUACGUGCCAGCCGCCGCCGUAA
rnacentral:rRNA from 1 species